UACAGAGGGUGCAAGCGUUGUUCGGAAUUAUUGGGCGUAAAGCGCUUGUAGGCGGUCUGUUAAGUCGCGUGUGAAGUCCCCAGGCUUAACCUGGGAAGUGCGCGCGAAACUGGCGGACUUGAGUGCCGGAGAGGGUCGCGGAAUUCCCGGUGUAGAGGUGAAAUUCGUAGAUAUCGGGAGGAACACCAGUGGCGAAGGCGGCGACCUGGACGGACACUGACGCUGAGACGCGAAAGCGUGGGGAGCAAACAGG
rnacentral:rRNA from 1 species